GACAGAGGCCUCAAGCGUUAGGCGGAAUCACUGGGCUUAAAGCGUGUGUAGGCGGACUUCUAAGUGCCUUGUGAAAUCCCACGGCUCACCCGUGGAACCGCUGGGUAUACUGGCUCUUCUUGGGCCAUUCAGGGGCGACUGGAACAAGCGGUGGAGCGGUGAAAUGCGUAGAUAUCGCUUGGAACGCCGACGGUGAAAACAGGUCGCUGGGAAUGUGCCGACGGCUGAGACACAAAAGCCAGGGGAGCAAACGGG
rnacentral:rRNA from 1 species